rnacentral:rRNA from 1 species
GSUUGAAACGGUCUUCCGGCCGACCUCCACCCUCUGUUGUUAAAACUACCUUGUUGCUUUGGCGGGACCGUCUCGGUCUCCGAGCGCACUAACCCUCGGGUUGGUGAGCGCCCGCCAGAGUCCAACCAAACUCUUGUAUUAAACCAGUCGUCUGAGUAUAAAAUUUUAAUUAAAUUAAAACUUUCAACAACGGAUCUCUUGGUUCUCGCAUCGAUGAAGAACGCAGCGAAAUGCGAUAAGUAAUGUGAAUUGCAGAAUUCAGUGAAUCAUCGAAUCUUUGAACGCACAUUGCGCCCCUUGGUAUUCCGAGGGGCAUGCCUGUUCGAGCGUCAUUACACCACUCAAGCAUCGCUUGGUAUUGGGAACGGUCCGUCGAAAGGCGGGCCUUCCUCGAAGACCUCGGCGGGGUUCAACCAACUUCGGGCGUAGUAGAGUUAAAUCGAACGUCUUAUAAGCUUGGUCGGAUCUCAUUGCCGUUAAACCUUUAAAUUUUCWAGGUUGACCUCGGAUCAGGUAGGGAUACCCGCUGAACUUAAGCAWAUCAAUAAGCGGAGGGGAAG